AUCCAACUGACGAGUUCAAAAUAAGGCAAAACGUACGUCCUGGAU
rfam:Schistosoma curassoni strain Dakar, Senegal genome assembly, scaffold: SCTD_scaffold0002794